CUGAUUCUAAUAAUCCUCCCCUGCUCCUUUGCGUGGUUCGUUUGGUCAGCAUGGUCGACGCGUGUGAAGUCUGGUGGCUUCGUGUGACAUCCCCAGCAGUGCUUAGCGAUGCGUGCACAAACCCUUCUGGUGUGCUUACACAUGGUCUAUUUUUAUCCUUUGUAAAAGCCUGAAUCUCCAUCUCGUUUUCAGUUUAUCUUGCACAAAGCAAGUCUCCCAGAUACCACGCGCCCGAGCGGCGAGAGCGCUCCGCCAGGGAUCUGAAGCAGCAGUAGAGCAGCGGGACCUCGCCGGACGCAGCAGCUCCACCACAACAAUGGCGCCGCCCUCGUGGAACAUGGAAGCAGCGGCUCACUCUUGCGGCGGCGACGUGUCCUUCCAGUGCUCCCCCUUGCGGCCUCCCCGGACUUGGUCUUCGCUUGGUGUUGGCAGACAAACGAGCAGGGGCAUCUCCCGCACUGGCCUCCCCCGUAUGUGCGCAGCUGGCUGCUCCCUCGAGUCCAGCAGUGGUCGCGAGGCGAUGCGAGCAGCAGCUCAGACGCACGCAGUGCCUCCCUGUCAGCCCGAGACGCCGCCCGAGCGGGAGGCACCGGCGGACCGGAGAGGCGAGCAGCAGCACGCCCCAGCAGCAGCACCGGGUGGCAGCAGCAUCACGCCCAGGACAGGGGCGCACGGAAGGUGCGGUGCGACGAGGCUGUAGUUAGGGGGGGCAACAAUUCUCGGCCGCAUCCAUGCGCAGCCGCCGUGGCGUGCUCCUACUCGUGCGGCUGGUCCAUGGCCGUCGGCGCAUGGCAGGGUAGGGGCGGCAGCAGUUCUAGGCCACAACCAUGGCCGACGGCGCGCGGCAUGCUCCUACUGGCGCGGCCGAUGCGGGCGAGAGAAGAGAGGAAUCGGGAGAGGUGCUCACGGGCAGCGCAACUCAUCUCCUCGGUGACCAAGGGGCUCGCUGGGGCGGCGGGGAAGGCCGGCUGCAGGGCAAAUAGGUAGAGGGCGCCGAGGGGAUCCGUUCUCGUGAGCGGCAUCCCGGGGAAGGCGCUAGAGUUGGCCGGAAUCGGGCGGUCAAUGGAAGGACGGGUUGUCGCCGCCAUUGAAGCAAGGGGAUCGAAGGUUGAGGAGGUCCUCUAUCUAGGAUCUAGGACCAGCGCGGACGUAACAACGACGCUCCCAAGCUCGGGCGCACCACUGCAGGGCGGAGGGCCGACGAGGGCCAGGCGGCGACAGUAACGCCGGGGAGGGCAUGAGUGAGUCCUGCGCCGCCGCGGCUGGAGAGGGAGUGUCUGACUAACAUAGAGGAAAGGAGCUCGGGUUGAAUUCUAAUAAAUCCAGGGGUUAACCGAAUCGUUUUGUAGAUUUCAUUUAAAGAGGGAGUGCGGUUACAAUUUUCA